GAUGAACGCUGGCGGUAUGCUUAACACAUGCAAGUCGAACGGACUCUUCGGAGUUAGUGGCGGACGGGUGAGUAACGCGUGAGAAUCUGGCUUUGGGUUCGGGACAACCACUGGAAACGGUGGCUAAUACCGGAUGUGCCGAGAGGUAAAAGAGAAAUUGCCUGAAGAUGAGCUCGCGUCUGAUUAGCUAGUUGGUGAGGUAAAGGCUCACCAAGGCAGCGAUCAGUAGCUGGUCUGAGAGGAUGACCAGCCACACUGGGACUGAGACACGGCCCAGACUCCUACGGGAGGCAGCAGUGGGAAAUUUUCCGCAAUGGGCGAGAGCCUGACAGGGCAAUACCGCGUGAGGGAAGAAGGCUCUUGGGUUGUAAACCUCUUUUCUUAGGGAAGAACAAAAUGACGGUACCUAAGGAAUCAGCAUCGGCUAACUCCGUG
rnacentral:rRNA from 1 species